UUGAAAUAACCCAUUUCUUCUCCCAAACUUCCAGCGCCCAAAAACCCAUUCUGCCGCCCCAAUUUCUUCCUCCCCAAAACCAGAAGAAUUUCCCUCUCUUCCACCCAAAAUCUCUCUUUGUCGCUCUUCCACUGGAUCGCAGAAGCUCUCUAAAACAAACCAAAAAUGUAGAGAUUCAUUUCCCUGUCUCCAAUCUCAAGAAAAAUCAAUUCUCAAAUUCUAGUGUUAGAUUUUGGCUUCCAAAAUUCUCUUAAUCCAUCCAUUCAUCACCGAUCGAUCUUACCGCCACCUUUCCCGCGUCGUUUUUACCGUCUGAUCAACCCCCGUUCUUGCUAAAUAUGAUCUUUUAACUUGGUUGUUCACUGACCUGAGUAAAGCGAAAUUGUCAUGUAAAGUACUACAUCCAUUUUAAAACCCACUUGAUCAAAUGAGAUGGUUUAGAUAAUUUUAAUUGUUUGAAAUUUUGUCGUAUACUUCUCGAGAGCAUGUGAAGCAAUGUAUCAAAAGCAUUGGGCAUCGGUCAGUGGAUCUCCCGAGAAAAAAGCAAGGGUUAAUUCGUACUCCUCUUUCAAAGGUGCUUCUUGAUGUCGGUAAGACUGAAAGAAUCAUAUUUGCUCAGCACUCAGGUCUCGAGGCUUCCCAAGAAGCCAUAACUGAAUAUCGAAUGCUAAGUCCAAUGAUGAAUGGAUGCUCAUGGAUUGAAUUGCAACUACUUACUAGCUGAAAGUAUCAGUUACUCAAAUCUUGAGGAAACAUGGUGUUGUUGGCAAGUUUGUCGAGUUUUAUGGGGAAGGUAUGGGUGAACUAUCUUUGGCUGAUAGGGCCACCAUUGCAAACAUGUCUCCUGAUUAUGGAGCAACCAUGGGUUUCUUCCCUGUAGAUCAUGUUACAUAGCAGUAUCUGAGGUUAACUGGAAGAAGUGAUCAGACAAUAAGUGUUCUCAGGUCUGAUUUUAAAGGUCUUUCUUUAUGAUACAGCCUCAGCAAGAAAGAACGUAACUUUUUUUCAUUGCCUCAUGACUGGGUGGCUUUGAAAGACAUGAAGGCUGAUUGGCAUGCAUGUCUUAACAAUCCAAUUGGAUUCAAACGUGGUCUUGUCACCAAAAAGGCCUGUGAACUGGGUUUGGAGGUUAAGCCGUGAGUGAAAGCAAGUCUUGCACCAGGCUCUGGUGUUGUUACAAAGUAUUUGCUCCAUAGGUUUGUUUUUGAGAGUCUUGGCAAAGGGCAAGCUGCGAAUGAUUUUCAAGUUUGAGGGCCUCCUGUUUCGAAAGCCUUUGAUGAUCUUGGAAAUGCUACAAAGAGCUCUGUUCUAUCACCCAGCAUUCUACAGUGAUGAAUAUGCAACCUAUUCUGAAAAUUUUCAUUAUUGAAUUGAUUACUUUUCAUUGCUGUUUCUGCAAUAUUGAAAAAUUUAUACUCUUCAAAUUUGUUUACUCAUUGCAACAGUAAAAUAUGUACUCUAUCA